GUAUGCAAAUGUCAAUGGUUGGUAACGCCCAUAAUAUGAAUAUUCAUGAGCUUGACUGAUAUUAUUAUCCUCUAUUCCAGGCACCUUUCCAUUUUGUGUUCUUUGUGCAUUCUUAUCAGAAAUCCUACGUGCGGUAAAUAAGUCUCUGUAUCACCAUUCUCCUUCUUAUUUGUAUGCAGAUUUGGUUAUAAUGAUUGAUAACUGUAAUCAUCCUCAUUAUUUUAAUAAGAAAUUUUUCUAUCUGUGAUGGAAGUUUUUAUGUACGAUUGCCUGAUCUGAAGACAAGACUUUCGCUGCAUGCAUAUUUAAUGUAUGACGUCACCCACACAGAGUGAGAGCUCGAGGUUUUCUUUGAAAGGUUGAUGGAAAAUGUAUGCAGAGACUUGUCGCAGUUAAUGCAGUACCAAAUGCUUGCUUUCUUGGAGUAUGUGCUUGAAACAAGAAUGUCCUGGAGAAAAUAGACCACCACAAGAGAAGGGAUUGAGAAGGAGGGCUUCCUGUUGACAGAUCAGGGGGUGCCUUGAGGUUCCACUCUUGAUGUUCUGCCCCUUACCUGAAAGCGAUGGCCUCUUGUGCCUGACAUAUUAGGAGCAAAGCACAAUGGACUGCUGGCUUAUUGGAAUUGGUUACAAAGAUACAAGUGGACUUGUCUGUAGUAGUUGCUGAAGAGGAGCAGUCAGCACAAGGAGCGUGUGCCUCCAAAACAACGUGGGAACUUCUCCCAAGUUCAUCUCAAAUCACAAGGCUCUUCAGGAAUCAAGAUGUAACAAUGGAGGUUGAGAAGGAGUUUGCGACCCUCCUGAUUUGGACUACUCGCUAUAUACAUUCUCAAACAAUGGAUUGUAGCACUUCUGCACAAAACUCAACAAGUCAUGAUUGAGGAAAAUGCAACAAAUACUCAGUUGAGCAUUGAUUUAUGUGACUGGUAUUAGGGUAGGAUUCAGCUUGGUAAUUUUAUAUAAACUAUGUCCCAAAAGAACCUCAUUGGUCCUUAUGGUUCCACGCCACAAGCUGCUCCCUCCCCUGUUUCGGUAUACCGAACCCAGACUAUCAAGGGAUCAAAUGAAUUAAAAUCCACACUUGAUUACAAAUGAA